UCAGGACGAACGCUGGCGGCGUGCCUAAUACAUGCAAGUCGAACGGUCUUUCUAUGGAAGCUUGCUCCACUGAGAAGAUAGUGGCGAACGGGUGAGUAACACGUGGGUAACCUGCCCAUAAGAGGGGGGAUAACAUCCGGAAACGGGUGCUAAUACCGCAUAGUUUUCUUGAUCGCAUGAUUGAGAAAGGAAAGACGGCCUUUGUGCUGUCGCUUAUGGAUGGACCCGCGGCGUAUUAGUUAGUUGGUGAGGUAACGGCUCACCAAGACGAUGAUACGUAGCCGACCUGAGAGGGUGAUCGGCCACAUUGGGACUGAGACACGGCCCAAACUCCUACGGGAGGCAGCAGUAGGGAAUCUUCCGCAAUGGACGAAAGUCUGACGGAGCAACGCCGCGUGAGUGAAAGAAGGUUUUCGGAUCGUAAAACUCUGUUGUCAGAGAAGAACAAGUUGGAGAGUAACUGCUCCAGCCUUGACGGUAUCUGACCAGAAAGCCACGGCUAACUACGUGCCAGCCGCGGC
rnacentral:rRNA from 1 species